ACAGAAGUAAAGUUACCAUGUAGCUUAUGAACUGAAGCUUCAAGGUGCCUCACCUGGUGAGUCCUGAGAAUUUAGAGGAGUAAUUGUGAGUUUUAUGUGGACUGGAGAGGCCAGGAUACCAUUAGGAAACAUUUCUUUAUUGGUAUUUCCAGUUAAUGGCCCAAGAGAUUGCCAAAGAAAAGGACCUGAAUUUGUAGUACUUUGUGAUUUAUUUCCUCAUUCUAAACAAAUAUCCAUUUUUGUAACUGAUUUUUGUCUCCGCAUUUUUGUAUUUCUUUGUAGAGUCUUCUAAUAUUGUGUAAGCUUCAAAUGCAACAAAACUAGGAUCAGCCCUUGAUUCUGUGUAUUGUUCACAAUUUCAUACAGCUGAACUCUUUAUUGAGGUUUUAAACAUAUACAUCCCGAGAACAUAUAGUCUAUUAUGUAAUAUUUGCUUAUCAUAUUAUAGUGAUUACCUUACAAAGACCACUUUCAGAGACAAGGUCAUUAUAUACAUGCUGAAUUCAUGGAGUUGACAUGUGAUUCAAUGAAAUAUAGGUAUCACCUAAACAAAUAUUAGGUUAAACCAUAUGAAACUGCCAAUAAAUGAUCAUUUAUUUGGCUACAAUAAUUUUAAUUUUGUGUAGCUCAGGCUAAUAAUGUUAUAAAAUAAAGUUGUUUUAUCUAUAUUAAUGUCAGACAAAACACAAUGAAAACCAGAAAGGAUCAAUAGAGAUAAACAGAGUCCAUUAAUAAUGAUCAAAUUUUCAUUUCACUGGCAAUAUAUCACAAUUUAAAAUUUGUUGGCAACUAAAUAUGGUGGCUUCAAAAUAUAGAAAAUGAAUAAUGAACAAAAAUACAAAAAUAUAUGGACAAAUCCAUAAUCAUAAUAGGGUAUUUUAGUAUGAAUUUCUCAGUGAUUAAAUAAUCAAAGAAAAAAAAUCACUAAAGAAAUCUAUUUAAAUCUAUCAUUUUACACUCGUACCAGAAAUCUGUGAGGCUUUCAAUUUUUCUACCUCUUCCACACAUCUUUCCCAACACUUAUUUUAUUUCCUUUUUAUGGUUGUUGUACUCAUCGAUUUUUCUGCAUUAAUUUACAUGGUCAUGUGUUUUUUGUUUUGUUUUGUUUUGUUUUGUUUGGGUCCUAUUAAUGUAUGUUGAACCACUCUUGGAUUCCUGAAAUAAAUCUCACUUGGUUAUGGUACAUGAUACUUUUAAUAUGCUGUUAUACUAAGUUUGCUAAAAUUUUGUUGAAGAUUUUUCAUAUCCAUGAAUAUGGAUGUGAACUGAUCUGUAGUUUUUUUUUUUUUGUGGUGUCUUUAAAGGGCUUUGAUAUCGGGGUAAUAUCAUAGAAUGACUUAGGAAGUAUUCCUUCAUCUU
rnacentral:lncRNA from 1 species